UUAUCAUCCAGAGUGGUGGAGGGAAAGGCCCUGUGAAGCCACGGCAACCGGUUCGUUUUUUUCAAACGAGCAACUGGUGCCAAUUCCUGCCCUGAAUCAAGGGAGAGAUGAGGA
rnacentral:ncRNA from 1 species